rnacentral:misc_RNA from 1 species
AGUACCCGCUGAACUUAAGCAUAUCAAUAAGCGGAGGAAAAGAAAAUACCAAUGAUUCCCUUAGUAACUGCGAGUGAAGGGGGAAAAGCUCAAAUUUUAAAUCUGUUAGGUUAUACCUGACCGAGUUGUAAUUUGAAGAGGCGUUUUCUGAGGUUUUGAUCAGUCCAAGUCCUUUGGGAUAAGGCAUCAUGGAGGGUGAGAAUCCCGUUCGGUUGAUCAGAACUUCUUUACGAUACGUCAUCAAAGAGUCAAGUUGUUUGGGAUUGCAGCUUAAAAUGGGAGGUAAAUUUCUCCUAAGGCUAAAUAACGGCGAGAGACCGAUAGCGAACAAGUACCGUGAGGGAAAGAUGAAAAGAACUUUGAAAAGAGAGUUAAACAGUACGUGAAAUUGUUGAAAGGGAAACGAUUGAAGC